GAUGAACGCUGGCGGCGUGCCUAAUACAUGCAAGUCGAGCGAACGGACGAGAAGCUUGCUUCUCUGAUGUUAGCGGCGGACGGGUGAGUAACACGUGGAGAACCUACCUAUAAGACUGGGAUAACUUCGGGAAACCGGUGCUAAUACCGGAUAAUAUUUUGAACCGUAUGGUUCAAAAGUGAAAGACGGUCUUGCAGUCACUUAUAGAUAGAUCCGCGCUGCAUUAGUUAGUUGGUAAGGUAACGGCUUACCAAGCCAACGAUGCAUAGCCAACCUGAGAGGGUGAUCGGCCACACUGGAACGGAGAAACGGUCAAGACUCCUACGGGAGGCAGCAGUGGGGAAUCUUCCGCAAUGGGCGAAAGCCUGACGGAGCAACGCGGCGUGGGUGAUGAAGGUCUUCGGAUCGAAAAACUCUUUUGUUAGGGAAGAACAUAUGUGUAGGUAACUGUGCACAUCUUGACGGUACCUAAUCAGAAAGCCACGGCUAACUACGUG
rnacentral:rRNA from 1 species